rnacentral:rRNA from 2 species
UAAUACAUGCAAGUCGAACGAACUCUGGUAUUGAUUGGUGCUUGCAUCAUGAUUUACAUUUGAGUGAGUGGCGAACUGGUGAGUAACACGUGGGAAACCUGCCCAGAAGCGGGGGAUAACACCUGGAAACAGAUGCUAAUACCGCAUAACAACUUGGACCGCAUGGUCCGAGCUUGAAAGAUGGCUUCGGCUAUCACUUUUGGAUGGUCCCGCGGCGUAUUAGCUAGAUGGUGGGGUAACGGCUCACCAUGGCAAUGAUACGUAGCCGACCUGAGAGGGUAAUCGGCCACAUUGGGACUGAGACACGGCCCAAACUCCUACGGGAGGCAGCAGUAGGGAAUCUUCCACAAUGGACGAAAGUCUGAUGGAGCAACGCCGCGUGAGUGAAGAAGGGUUUCGGCUCGUAAAACUCUGUUGUUAAAGAAGAACAUAUCUGAGAGUAACUGUUCAGGUAUUGACGGUAUUUAACCAGAAAGCCACGGCUAACUACGUGCCAGCAGCCGCGGUAAUACGUAGGUGGCAAGCGUUGUCCGGAUUUAUUGGGCGUAAAGCGAGCGCAGGCGGUUUUUUAAGUCUGAUGUGAAAGCCUUCGGCUCAACCGAAGAAGUGCAUCGGAAACUGGGAAACUUGAGUGCAGAAGAGGACAGUGGAACUCCAUGUGUAGCGGUGAAAUGCGUAGAUAUAUGGAAGAACACCAGUGGCGAAGGCGGCUGUCUGGUCUGUAACUGACGCUGAGGCUCGAAAGUAUGGGUAGCAAACAGGAUUAGAUACCCUGGUAGUCCAUACCGUAAACGAUGAAUGCUAAGUGUUGGAGGGUUUCCGCCCUUCAGUGCUGCAGCUAACGCAUUAAGCAUUCCGCCUGGGGAGUACGGCCGCAAGGCUGAAACUCAAGGAAUUGACGGGGGCCCGCACAAGCGGUGGAGCAUGUUGGGUAGCGAACAUGAUUAGAUACCUUGGUAGUCCAUGCCAUAAAACGAUGAGUGAUAAGUGUUGGGAGGCUUCCGCCUAUCAGUGCUGCAGCUAACGCAUUAAGCACUCCGCCUGGGGAGUACGACCGCAAGGUUGAAACUCAAAGGAAUUGACGGGGGCCCGCACAAGCGGUGGAGCAUGUGGUUUAAUUCGAAGCAACGCGAAGAACCUUACCAGGUCUUGACAUCUAUGCCAUUUGUAGAGAUACAAAGUUCCCUUCGGGGACGCUAAGACAGGUGGUGCAUGGCUGUCGUCAGCUCGUGUCGUGAGAUGUUGGGUUAAGUCCCGCAACGAGCGCAACCCUUGUUAUUAGUUGCCAGCAUUAAGUUGGGCACUCUAAUGAGACUGCCGGUGACAAACCGGAGGAAGGUGGGGAUGACGUCAAGUCAUCAUGCCCCUUAUGACCUGGGCUACACACGUGCUACAAUGGGCAGCACAACGAGCAGCGAGCCUGCAAAGGCAAGCAAAUCUCUGAAAGCGUUCUCAGUUCGGACUGCAGUCUGCAACUCGACUGCACGAAGCUGGAAUCGCUAGUAAUCGCGGAUCAGCACGCCGCGGUGAAUACGUUCCCGGGCCUUGUACACACCGCCCGUCACACCAUGGGAGUCUGCAAUGCCCAAAGCCGGUGGCCUAACCGCAAGGAAGGGACCAGUGUAGC